AUUUUUUUAUGGAGCUUUUUUCCUGAUGAAUGGAUUGAAAAUGUAUUUUAAAUUGUCCAAACAGAAACUUGCAGUUCCUCAGCCUCAAUCUGAGUCACAUACACAAAUUUAGUCUGCCCAACAAAUUUCUCAAACCUAGUAGGUUGAGACUCAGCUCAGGCAGCAACAACUGAUACAACUCCAGCAACAGUCUUUAUAUUCAUCGGUCAGAAACUUAUUACACAUUCUUGUAUAUGUUAAAGGUUGCUAUUGUUCAUUGUUUAACUCACUGUUGUGAACCAAUAUGACUCAAGGCUUUGACAUCAUUAGAAAUCCAUUGCUAUUUCCUCCCACCAUCUUUCCUGCAAGUCUUAUGCUGCUGCUUAGAAUUAUCUUCCAGAAUCAAGUGUUUUCUUUAGGUAGUGGCAAGUCCAUACAAGGCUUUGGUAAUCUGUUUCCUUUCGAAGUUUUGGAGAAACUAUUAUUUUAAUGCUACAGUUUCUUUGUCCACUCCCUCUGUCUACUGUUUGCAGCUUCAUCUUUUAGCUGGCUGGUCUCUUAUCUCCUGAAAAACUAGCAGCCAUGUGAUUUUUAGGCAGGAUUUGCCUGCAGAGGGAACCAUUUCAUUACUAAAAAUUAUGAUUUUUGACUUUUCACUUGCAGGUGUGAUUCGGCUUGUGAAAUACCUAUCACAAAAGCAUUUAUUUGGCAAGAACCCAAGGUGUACCAUAAUUUCCGAAUCUUAUCCUGAUAAUUCUUGAAGAGAUGGAUUUCCUUAGUUUUCUUCAAAUGAUUCCUUCAUGUUUUCAACUAGCGAUGACAUUUUAGGAAUUCAAUCUGCCUAGAGGAUCAUGCUGAUAGUUCUUUUAUCCAGAACAUUGGUCUAUUGGGCUCCACUGUGGAUGGACCAUUUCAUAAUAUCUCCCAAGGUUAGAGAUCCUAGCAUUUCCUUAAGACUUUUGUACUUGUGUGCUUCUUUACACAUAUUCUGCACGUGUUUUGGAGUGUAGAACUCCGUAGCAGCCACGAGAUGAAACAUGAACUUGUACUUUUGUACUUGUGUGCUUCUUUACACAUGUGUGCUUGUUUUUUAGUGUAGAACUCCAU